GUUGGUAGAGGCAUGCGACUGAAAAUCGCAGUGUCGGUGGUUCGAUUCCGCCCCUGGGCACCA
rnacentral:tRNA from 1 species